UCCGGGACUCCCCGGCGAGGCUGUCCGCGGGGACGGGGGUCUGGGCAGAGGCGAGCGGGUGAACCGUGAACUUCAGAGGAGCCACAGCGGGGCUGGACGGCGGCCGACCCACCUCGCCAAGAGAAAAAGCCAGAUAAAUCAUGACAUCCUUCAGAUUAUGUGGCUGCCAGAGGACCAGGAAUAGUUGCUGCUGUGGCAAGCUGAGAUUUCAUAAUUUACUCAAGGUCCACAGUCCUUCCUGAUAUUCAGAAUCCUACAGUCAUCUCGAGUGAAUCUGGUCGUCAUCACAUCUUCUAAGUUCUUUGUCUUCACCUCUGAAGGUGUUCUUGACCAUUUCAGCUCAAUCACUCAUUUCUGUCAGAAAAAACUUCACUGGAUAUGAAGAGAGAGAAAUAUGAUGUCUAGAGCUGCUGUAGCUCAGGCAAAGACCUUGUCUAAGAAUGAAGCCAACACACAGGAAAAAGCAGAACAAAACUAAGAGAUGAAGAGACCAGGUCCUGGUAAUGUAGUUGUCACGGUGGCAUCAAGCCACAGGUGAACUAAGCACUGCCCUAAACAUCCGCUGGAUAGUUCUGGGCUGUUUUCUACAUUGAAGACAACUCUCCAACUUCUGCUGACCACAUAUGCAGUUAACAAUGUCAUUCUCCGCUGAUCUUGUGAUCAGAGAAGAGCUUCAAAGCCGACAGGAAACUGCUUUUUCAUCCCUCCUACUCCCUAGUCCCACCCCAGGCCGUCCAGCAUCCUGACUCUCAACUUCUAAGAAACUGUGGAAUCACUUGAGAAGCCUGUUUCUCAAAUUCUUCAUCCUACUUCUCCACCAAAACCGAGGGGUAAGAAUGGUGAACGAUCAACUUCUUUCCUCUUUUCUAGCUGACCACAUGCUACGUUUCUGAGUCCCCCAGCCAGUAGCCAUUUUCAGUGAUGAGCUGACCCUGCACAGCCACUGCCUCCUUGGUCCUGGGAGCCUCCUGCUUUCCUCACCUACCCGUCAUGGGAAAGCUGUGUGUAUGGCAAGCCUUUGAUAGAAGAUGUGGACAAAACUUCUUAGCAACCAUGGCUUAAAAAUACAUGAUCUUCGAGGAAAGUAUUCUAUACAUAGUCUCAGUAACUAAAAUGCUAUUACUUUUCAAAUAAUUCCAAGUGAAUUACACAUGAGAGGCAGAGAAAAUGAUAUUCACCAUAAUUUCUUCCAGGAAGAACACUGAAUUUGUAUGGAAAGAACUUUUAUAAGCCCACCUGGGACUUGGGUACAGUCUCCAAAGCUCAGCGCCCCCAAAGAGGUUUCCUCAUGUGUACAGCAUUACUUAUCCAGAGAUAAGGGGUGAAAAGUUUUGUUGUCAUAGGAAAGAGUGGAGAACAAGGAAGAAGGAGGGGAAAAAGUCAGGCUUAUAAAAUAGGCCGUUGU